GACGAACGCUGGCGGCGUGCUUAACACAUGCAAGUCGAACGGAAAGGCCCUGCUUGUGUGGGGUGCUCGGGUGGCGAACGGGUAAGUAACACGUGAGUAACCUGCCCUUGACUUUGGGAUAACUUAAGGAAACGGGAGUUAAGACCAGAUAGCAUCUCCUGCUGGAGGGUGGGGGUUGGAUAGUUUCGGCGUGUGGGGAUGGACGCGCGGCUUAUCAGCUUGUUGGUGGGGGAGUGGCUUACCAAGGCUUGGACGGGUAGCCGGCCUGAGAGGGUGACCGGCGACAUGGGGCCUGAGAUACGCCCCAGAGCCCUACGGGAGGCAGCAGGGGGAAAUAUUGCCCAAUGGGCGGAAGCCUGAUGAAGAAACGCCGGGUGCGGGAUGACGGCUUUCGGGUUGAAAACCGCUUCAGCCUGUGACGAAGCGUUAGUGACGGUACUGGGUAAAGAAGCACCGGCUAACUACGUG
rnacentral:rRNA from 1 species